GAUGAACGCUGGCGGCGUGCCUAAUACAUGCAAGUCGAGCGAACAGACGAGGAGCUUACUCCUCUGACGUUAGCGGCGGACGGGUGAGUAACACGUGGAUAACCUACCUAUAAGACUGGGAUAACUUCGGGAAACCGGAGCUAAUACCGGAUAACAUGUUGAACCGCAUGGUUCAACAGCGAAAGACGGUCUUGCUGUCACUUAUAGAUGGAUCCGCGUCGCAUUAGCUAGUUGGUAAGGUAACGGCUUACCAAGGCAACGAUGCGUAGCCGACCUGAGAGGGUGAUCGGCCACACUGGAACUGAGACACGGUCCAGACUCCUACGGGAGGCAGCAGUAGGGAAUCUUCCGCAAUGGGCGAAAGCCUGACGGAGCAACGCCGCGUGAGUGAAGAAGGUCUUCGGAUCGUAAAACUCUGUUAUUAGGGAAGAACAAAUGUGUAAGUAACUAUGCACGUCUUGACGGUACCUAAUCAGAAAGCCACGGCUAACUACGUG
rnacentral:rRNA from 1 species